rnacentral:rRNA from 1 species
CAGCAGCCGCGGUAAAACGGAGGGUGCAAGCGUUAUCCGGAUUUAUUGGGUUUAAAGGGUCCGUAGGCGGACUUAUAAGUCAGUGGUGAAAGCCUGUCGCUUAACGAUAGAACUGCCAUUGAUACUGUAAGUCUUGAGUAUAUUUGAGGUAGCUGGAAUAAGUAGUGUAGCGGUGAAAUGCAUAGAUAUUACUUAGAACACCAAUUGCGAAGGCAGGUUACCAAGAUAUAACUGACGCUGAGGGACGAAAGCGUGGGUAGCGAACAGGAUUAGAUACCCCAGUAGUCCCUGUCUCUCAUAC